rnacentral:rRNA from 1 species
AACGAACGCUGGCGGCAGGCUUAACACAUGCAAGUCGAGCGCCCCGCAAGGGGAGCGGCAGACGGGUGAGUAACGCGUGGGAACGUACCCUUUGCUACGGAAUAGCUCCGGGAAACUGGAAUUAAUACCGUAUGUGCCCUACGGGGGAAAGAUUUAUCGGGGAUGGAUGAGCCCGCGUUGGAUUAGCUAGUUGGUGGGGUAAAGGCCUACCAAGGCGACGAUCCAUAGCUGGUCUGAGAGGAUGAUCAGCCACAUUGGGACUGAGACACGGCCCAAACUCCUACGGGAGGCAGCAGUGGGGAAUAUUGGACAAUGGGCGCAAGCCUGAUCCAGCCAUGCCGCGUGAGUGAUGAAGGCCUUAGGGUUGUAAAGCUCUUUCACCGGUGAAGAUAAUGACGGUAACCGGAGAAGAAGCCCCGGCUAACUUCGUGCCAGCCGCCGCUGUAAGAC